UACGAAGGGGGCUAGCGUUGUUCGGAAUUACUGGGCGUAAAGCGCACGUAGGCGGAUACUUAAGUCAGGGGUGAAAUCCCGGGGCUCAACCCCGGAACUGCCUUUGAUACUGGGUAUCUCGAGUCCGGAAGAGGUGAGUGGAAUUCCGAGUGUAGAGGUGAAAUUCGUAGAUAUUCGGAGGAACACCAGUGGCGAAGGCGGCUUCCUGGCCUGCAACUGACGCUGAGACGCGAAAGCGUGGGGAGCGAACCGG
rnacentral:rRNA from 1 species